rnacentral:misc_RNA from 1 species
GAUGAAGAACGUAGCGAAAUGCGAUACGUAGUGUGAAUUGCAGAAUUCCGUGAACCAUCGAAUCUUUGAACGCAUAUUGCGCUCGAGCCCUCGGGCAAGAGCAUGUCUGCCUCAGCGUCGGUUUAAACCCUCACCCCUCCCAACUUGUUGGGUAUGUUUGCUUCGUUUGCAAGCCACAGGGGUGGAUCUGGCUUCCCCAAUCAGCCACCAGGCAGAUUGGGUUGGCUGAAGUACAGAGGCUUAAGCAAGGACCCGAUAUGGGCUUCAACUGGAUAGGUAGCACCGGCUUCUGCCGACUACACGAAGUUGUUGCUUGUGGAUCUUGCUAGAAGCCAAGCAGGAAUGUGCCUUUGGCAUAUCUUAACUUUCGACCUGAGCUCAGGCAAGAUUACCCGCUGAACUUAAGCAUAUCAAAUAAGCGGAGGA